rnacentral:rRNA from 1 species
AGCACCGGCUAACUCCGUGCCAGCAGCCGCGGUAAUACGGAGGGUGCGAGCGUUAAUCGGAAUUACUGGGCGUAAAGGGUGCGUAGGUGGUUGAUUAAGUUAUCUGUGAAAUUCCUGGGCUUAACCUGGGACGGUCAGAUAAUACUGGUUGACUCGAGUAUGGGAGAGGGUAGUGGAAUUUCCGGUGUAGCGGUGAAAUGCGUAGAGAUCGGAAGGAACACCAGUGGCGAAGGCGGCUACCUGGCCUAAUACUGACACUGAGGCACGAAAGCGUGGGGAGCAAACAGGAUUAGAUACCCUGGUAGUCCACGCUGUAAACGAUGUCAACUAGC